rnacentral:rRNA from 1 species
AAUCAACGCUGGCGGCGUGCCUCAGACAUGCAAGUCGAACGCGAAAGUCCCCUUCGGGGGACAAGUAGAGUGGCGCACGGGUGAGUAACACGUAGGUAAUCUACCUUCGGAUGGGGAAUAACAACCGGAAACGGUUGCUAAUACCGCAUAAUGCAGCGGCACCUAAUGGUGACAGUUGUUAAAGCGGGGGAUCGAAAGACCUCGCGUCUGAAGAGGAGCCUGCGGCGGAUUAGCUAGUGGUAAGGUAAUGGCUUACUAAGGCUACGAUCCGUAACCGGCCUGAGAGGGCGGUCGGUCACACUGACACUGACAUACGGGUCAGACUCCUACGGGAGGCAGCAGUCGGGAAUUUUGGGCAAUGGGCGAAAGCCUGACCCAGCAACGCCGCGUGAAGGAUGAAAAUCCCUCGGGAUGUAAACUUCGCAAGAACGGGAAGAAUAAGUAGGGGACAAUACCCCCUAUGAUGACGGUACCGUUUGUAAGCUCCGGCUAACUCCGUGCCAGCAGCCGCAGUAAU